AGUCGAUAAAAGUCCCUUUCUUUCUAAAAAAAAGUCGUUAGGGGGUCUGAAAAGUCAUUGAAUCUAACAACAAAGUCGCUAAGUUUGCAACUACGUGUCCCAGACUGCAUCCCUGCUGAGAGUCCCUCCCUCCCUUCUCAUGUUGCAGGAAGAACGUAAGCGCCCGCCCCUUGUCAAUCAGUCACCAUAUAAUUUUGGAUUGGUUGUUGUGGUGAAGUUUUCCACCAAUAGGAGAGAUGUUGUGGUGUGUGUUUUUUUUCUUUUGGCAAGCCUUUUCCGCCUGUAAGAGCUGUCGCUAAUGUCUGCAUGCUAUGUUUUCCUGUCUCAUACAGCGCGAUCGAGCGCCGAACGUGAUCAAAAUAAGCAGAAAAAAAGUAUCGCGGACAUAAUUUAUCAUAACUCUGGUUUUAUUUGGCCUAUCAACACAAUUUAAAAACUGGUAUAUAGGUUGAGGUCCUCACUUUUGAGAUAAGUUGAAACGGAGAGUCAACGAGGCUCCGUCUUGCAGCUACAUCCGGUUAAAUAUGUCAUGUGACUUGAACGCACACACAGACACACACACACACACACACACACACACACACUCAGAGUCUGGUUUUUAGCACCUGCAAAAACAUGCUAUUUACAUAUUUGACAAGAAUGCAGAGGCUCCUUUUGCCCCUGAAAAAAAUCAAAUUUCAAACACAACUUGACUGGUCAUUUCUCCAAAAGACAACCAUGAAGCUCCAUCCAAACCUGAAGCAGGCAGUUUGUGCAUGUGUACAGUAACCUGAGGGGAGUGAGGUGAGUGCUUCUGAGGAGAACAUGAGCAGUGAAGAUUCACCUUGGAGCUAGAACAGAGACAUGCACAUGAUUAUACAGGGGCAGGGGCUCAAGUUU